rnacentral:lncRNA from 1 species
UAUGGAGGAGCCGAGGUGGCGUGGAAGGGAAAGUACACAUCAUGACUGAAAGUGAGUAUGUAAAGUAUAUAAACCCUAUGUUUUUUGAUCCAAGCACAUCAGUUUUCAUUUUGAGCUUCAGUCAUCAUCAUCACAUUUAAAUCAUAUAUCAUGAAAAUCUUGCUCGUUGCUGCUUUCCUCAUUGCCGGAGCUAUGUCCGCCCCAUUGGACGAUACUCUUAAGGUCAAGGAAGCCAAAACCGCCUUCCAAGCUGCAUAUGAUGAAGCCACUGCGGGAUAACAUGCAAAAUUAGCCCCUGUUCCAGUCGCGAAUUCCUAUUUGGCAGACUCCAAGGAUGUUGCAGAAGCCAAAAAGGAAUUCAUGAGCCUCUACAAGAACGCCGAGGCCGUUUCCAAAGCUGCCGAGCGCCCAUUUGUCCCCAUUGCCUAUCCUUAUUAUUCUGUUGGUCCCUCAUUCAAGGGCUUUGCUUACUCUAGUAUGAGUCCUUCUCACGCUCCUCUGUACUACUCUGCUGCUCCUUUUGCAGUCCCUACUGUCAACAGAUACUUCCACUAUCCCUCUCCAUAUAAGACAUACUACACCUUCCCCUAUGGAAACUCCUUUGUUCAGCCCAUGAAACGUGUUGAGGAACCUGCUGUUCAAGAAGAGUAGAGUUAUAAAUAAUGGACGAGUUAAAAAGAAAAGAAGUAUUAAAAAACAAAAGAAAAUUGAAUAUAUUAUUC